rnacentral:rRNA from 1 species
GAUCCUGGCUCAGGACGAACGCUGGCGGCGUGCCUAACACAGUGCAAGUCGAACGGAACUGUUUUGAAAGAUUUCUUCGGAAUGAAUUUGAUUUAGUUUAGUGGCGGACGGGUGAGUAACGCGUGAGUAACCUGCCUUCAAGAGGGGGAUAACAUUCUGAAAAGAAUGCUAAUACCGCAUGAUAUAUCGGAACCACAUGGUUUUGAUAUCAAAGAUUUUAUCGCUUGAAGAUGGACUCGCGUCCGA